UACAGAGGGUGCAAGCGUUGUUCGGAAUUAUUGGGCGUAAAGCGCGUGUAGGCGGCUUGGCAAGUCGGGUGUGAAAGCCCUCAGCUCAACUGAGGAAGUGCGCCCGAAACUGCUGAGCUUGAGUGCCGGAGAGGGUGGCGGAAUUCCCCAAGUAGAGGUGAAAUUCGUAGAUAUGGGGAGGAACACCGGUGGCGAAGGCGGCCACCUGGACGGUAACUGACGCUGAGACGCGAAAGCGUGGGGAGCAAACAGG
rnacentral:rRNA from 1 species